rnacentral:rRNA from 1 species
GACGAACGCUGGCGGCGUGCUUAACACAUGCAAGUCGAACGAAGUGGCGAACGUGUGAGUAACGCGUAAUCAACCUGCCCUUCAGAGGGGGACAACAGUUGGAACCGACUGCUAAUACCGCAUACUGAAGGAGGUGAUUGCGUCUGAUUAGCUAGUUGGAGGGGUAACGGCCCAUCAAGGCGAUGAUCAGUAGCCGGGCUGAGAGGAUGAACGGCCACAUUUGGACUGAGACACGGCCCAGACUCCUACGGGAGGCAGCAGUGGGGAAUCUUCCGAAAUGGACGAAAGUCUGACGGAGCAACGCCGCGUGAGUGAUGACGGCCUUCGGGUUGUAAAGCUCUGUUAAUCGGGACGCGGUACCGGAAGAGAAAGCCACGGCUAACUACGUGCCAGCAGCCGCGGUAAUAC